AUUGAACGCUGGCGGCAUGCUUUACACAUGCAAGUCGAACGGCAGCGGGGAGGAGCUUGCUUCUCUGCCGGCGAGUGGCGCACGGGUGAGUAAUACAUCGGAACGUGUCGAGAAGAGGGGGAUAACCACCCGAAAGGGUGGCUAAUACCGCUUAAAUCUUGAGGAGGAAACUGGGGGACUUAGAAAUAGGCCUGGGGCUUUUUAACCGCCGAUGUCGGAUUAGCUAGUUGGUGAGGUAAAGGCUCACCAAGGCGAAGAUCUGUAGCGGGUCUGAGAGGAUGAUCCGCCACACUGGGACUGAGACACGGCCCAGACUCCUACGGGAGGCAGCAGUGGGGAAUUUUGGACAAUGGGGGCAACCCUGAUCCAGCCAUGCCGCGUGUAUGAAGAAGGCCUUAGGGUUGUAAAGUACUUUUGUUAGGGAAGAAAAGUCAGCUGUGAAUAAUGGCUGAUACUGACGGUACCUAAAGAAUAAGCACCGGCUAACUACGUG
rnacentral:rRNA from 1 species